rnacentral:misc_RNA from 1 species
GAUGAAGAACGCAGCGAAAUGCGAUAAGUAAUGUGAAUUGCAGAAUUCAGUGAAUCAUCGAAUCUUUGAACGCACCUUGCGCCCUUUGGCCAUUCCGAAGGGCAUGCCUGUUUGAGUAUCAUGAACACCUCAACUCUUUAUGGUUUUCCAUGAUGAGCUUGGACUUUGGGGGUUUUGCUGGCCUAUGGUCGGCUCCUCUAAAAUAAAUCAGCUUACCGGUGUUUGGUGGGUAUCAUGGGUGUGAUAACUAUCUACGCUUGUGGUUUUUCCCCCAGGUAACCUUCGACAGCGGAGGUUCACUGGAGCUCAUAGAUGUCUCUCCUCAGCGAGGACAGCCCUUUGAAUGUUUGAUCUCAAAUCAGGUAGGACUACCCGCUGAACUUAAGCAUAUCAAUAAGCGGAGGA